GAUUUAAUUACAAGGAAUUUGAAAUAAUAUAUACUUUUACUUUUGAUAAGUAGAUUUAAAACCAAAUACUUUUGGACUUUUACUCAAGUAGGAACGUACUGGGCGACUUUCACCUCUACUUGAGUCAUUUUCUAUUAAGGUAUCUUUACUUUUACUCAAGUAUGACAAUGGGUACUUUCCCCACCACGGAUGUUAUCUCCCUUGCUGUCUUUUGUCCAGAAACAGGCUAUGAAUGGGUGGGCUGCCUGUAAAUGGACUGACCAGGAGAUGACAUGUGUUGGUAAAGGCCAGGUCAAUAUUGUGUACUGCAGGCUGAGGAAGCUGAAGGCCCACGUCUUGGAGAGCGCUAGGGAAGGGGCUGUGUUCUGGCCUAACCACUGGAGAGUCCAGCUGUGCCCCUGCGUCAGUUGCAAGAGGGGGCCUGCUGGAUGAGUCAGACACUGUCCUAGCCUGUGAGAACUGAGGCACUACAGAGCAAGGAACUGCUAGUCUCAGGCCUGGCAUAAGCAGACGGUUGUACUCUGGACAGCAUUCAGCAACUGGAGAUUGUUUAACUUAAGGAUGGGGACAAUCUUUUUCAUUUAUUUGUUUGGCAGCUAUUAACUGUAGAUGUAACCUAACACAGGGUUUAUACCAUUUGAUGAAAGUAAAAUGUUGUUUCUUCUAUCUCUGAGUUAAUUGAGAAGGAGACUGAACUGAUGGCUUUCCUACAGCAGAUUGCUGAUGAAGGAAAGGUCAUCACAGCAGAAGCCAUCCACCAAUUAUUUGGGGAGCUGAUGAAGAAGAGGCAACAGAUGAACAGCUGAUGUCAUUCUGCCCCACGGUGUCCUGUUGUUUACUUGUGCAAUUUUGUAAUGUUACUUUGGGUUCAUAGCAAAAGUUCUGUCCACCAAACACCUUCUGCUUUAAAUAACAGUGCUGCUAUAAAAUAUGCUGUUACUGAGGUUUAUGAAGUUGAAAGUUUUGCCAAAAAAGUUGUUCUCGAAUUGCUCUCCAUGGAUUUCAAAUGGCGUUCCAUGUCUCAUGAGAAGCUGAAGUAGCAUGCUGUUAGCAGGCUUGGAGAGAUGCUGAUGGAAUCUAGUCAUUUUAGUCAUGGACUUACUGUUAUUUGGUCAAUUAUGUCUUAGUUGUCAUUAGAAUUUCAUAAUAAUGUGACACCUGAUGAGGAUGCACUGCCUUUCAUAUUGAAACAGAUCCAGUAUGUGACCAUUUUAUGUUGUCACUAGCAUUCCUGUUAAUUAAACAUUUGAAUAGUUCAUCCAGCAUACUCCGUGACGUGAUUAUGUGGCUACUUGUCCUCCAAAUACCAGAAGGUACUUCUUAAAAAAAAAUAUUAAAAAACUUUU
ensembl:lncRNA